UGAAGGGCCGCGGUAUUUUGACCGUGCAAAGGUAGCAUAAUCAUUAGUUCUUUAAUUGUGAUCUGGAAUGAAUGGCUUGACGAGGCACAAACUGUCUUAAGUUUGAAUAUUUUGUUGAAUUUGGUUUUUGAGUUAAAAUUCUUAAAUGUUUUUAUGGGACGAGAAGACCCUAUAGAGUUUGACAUGUUGGUUUAUUUACUUAUUUUUGUUCGUUUUGUUUUGGUAAGUGGGCCUUUUGUUUUGUUGGGGUGAUGAGAGGAAUAUAAUUUAACUCCUCUUGGUUUAUGGUUAUAUUGAUUUAUAUUUAUUUGAUCCAUUUAUUUUGAUUAUAAGAUUAAAUUACCU
rnacentral:rRNA from 1 species